GUGUUCUCACAAUGGGUUGUUCCUCUUACAUCCUGUUCAGGCAGGCUGGCCCCGUAACCCAUGGCAAUGCCACUAGUGAAGAGUAUCCUCUGUGUGUAGAAUAGUGUGUUAGGGGGUAGCUUCAAAAACAGUGUUACCAGAACACACAUGUUCUUUUAGUGAAAGUUAAAAGAUAGCACUUCUUUCCAGAGGGUCAGCAGUGAAGUGUGGUGACCUGGGUACUUCCUGUUUGACCAAGUGUUUUGUGGCUGUGGUUGGCACUCUGGAAGACUGAUCUCUGCUGAGAUUGGCUGAGUACCUAGUGGGUUUGCCUUCAAACUGAGGCUUCAUGGAGACUGCAACAUAGCCUGUGACCUCAAAGGUAAGCCCAGAGCCUUGAGCUUGCUAAACAACUUCUUUACCCACCGAGCCUCAAGAUCUUCAACUCUACAGUGUGACACACGCAAAGAGUGAGAGCAAAUGGAUGGAGUAUGUAGAAGGUAUGGAAAACUAUCCUGAGAAAAAGUAAAAAGGAGAAGAAAAGAGAUCAACAAAUGGUCAGAAUUCAAAAUACCUUUCAGAGGUCUAAAAGUAAACAAAAAAAUGACGAAUGUUAUAAUUUAACUGCUUUUAAAGUAAAGUAGCAAAAUAAAUACCUAUAAACAAAUACUUUAAGAGCAGACACAAACAAAAAAGAUAUCU
rnacentral:lncRNA from 1 species